GCCAGUGUAAUUCAAAAAGAAUAUUAUAUUGAAGAUAUAAAAAUGAACUUUCCUCUUGCA
rnacentral:tRNA from 2 species